GAUGAACGCUGGCGGCGUGCCUAAUACAUGCAAGUCGAGCGAACGGACGAGAAGCUUGCUUCUCUGAUGUUAGCGGCGGACGGGUGAGUAACACGUGGAUAACCUACCUAUAAGACUGGGAUAACUUCGGGAAACCGGAGCUAAUACCGGAUAAUAUUUUGAACCGCAUGGUUCAAAAGUGAAAGACGGUCUUGCUGUCACUUAUAGAUGGAUCCGCUCUGCAUUAGCUAGUCGGUAAGGUAACGGCUUACCAAGGCAACGAUGCAUAGCCGACCUGAGAGGGUGAUCGGCCACACUGGAACUGAGACACGGUCCAGACUCCUACGGGAGGCAGCAGUAGGGAAUCUUCCGCAAUGGGCGAAAGCCUGACGGAGCAACGCCGCGUGAGUGAUGAAGGUCUUCGGAUCGUAAAACUCUGUUAUUAGGGAAGAACAUAUGUGUAAGUAACUGUGCACAUCUUGACGGUACCUAAUCAGAAAGCCACGGCUAACUACGUGC
rnacentral:rRNA from 1 species